rnacentral:rRNA from 1 species
UACAGAGGUGGCAAGCGUUGUUCGGAAUUACUGGGCGUAAAGGGCGCGUAGGCGGUCUUGUCAGUCCCUUGUGAAAUCCCCCGGCUCAACUGGGGAACUGCACGGGAAACAGCAGGGCUUGAGUUCGGGAGAGGGAAGCGGAAUUCCGGGUGUAGCGGUGAAAUGCGUAGAUAUCCGGAGGAACACCGGUGGCGAAGGCGGCUUCCUGGACCAAGUAUUGACGCUGAGGAGCGAAAGCCAGGGGAGCAAACGGG